AGCGACUUAUAUUCUGUAGCAAGGUUAACCGAAUAGGGGAGCCGGAGGGAAACCGAGUCUUAAUUGGGCGUUAAGUUGCAGGGUAUAGACCCGAAACCCGGUGAUCUAGCCAUGGGCAGGUUGAAGGUUGGGUAACACUAACUGGAGGACCGAACCGACUAAUGUUGAAAAAUUAGCGGAUGACCUGUGGCUGGGGGUGAAAGGCCAAUCAAACCGGGAGAUAGCUGGUUCUCCCCGAAAGCUAUUUAGGUAGCGCCUCGUGAAUUCAUCUCCGGGGGUAGAGCACUGUUUCGGCUAGGGGGCCAUCCCGGCUUACCAACCCGAUGCAAACUGCGAAUACCGGAGAAUGUUAUCACGGGAGACACACGGCGGGUGCUAACGUCCGUCGUGAAGAGGGAAACAACCCAGACCGCCAGCUAAGGUCCCAAAGUCAUGGUUAAGUGGGAAACGAUGUGGGAAGGCCCAGACAGCCAGGAUGUUGGCUUAGAAGCAGCCAUCAUUUAAAGAAAGCGUAAUAGCUCACUGGUCGAGUCGGCCUGCGCGGAAGAUGUAACGGGGCUAAACCAUGCACCGAAGCUGCGGCAGCGACGCUGAUGCGUUGUUGGGUAGGGGAGCGUUCUGUAAGCCUGCGAAGGUGGCCUGUGAGGGUUGCUGGAGGUAUCAGAAGUGCGAAUGCUGACAUAAGUAACGAUAAAGCGGGUGAAAAGCCCGCUCGCCGGAAGACCAAGGGUUCCUGUCCAACGUUAAUCGGGGCAGGGUGAGUCGACCCCUAAGGCGAGGCCGAAAGGCGUAGUCGAUGGGAAACGGGUUAAUAUUCCCGUACUUGGUGUUACUGCGAAGGGGGGACGGAGAAGGCUAUGUUGGCCGGGCGACGGUUGUCCCGGUUUAAGCGUGUAGGUGUGUGUUCCAGGUAAAUCCGGUUCACUUUAACAC
rnacentral:rRNA from 1 species